rnacentral:rRNA from 1 species
ACGGAGGGUGCGAACGUUAAUCGGAAUCACUGGGCGUAAAGCGCGCGUAGGCGGUCCGUUAAGUGGGAUGUGAAAUCCCCGGGCUUAACCUGGGAAUUGCAUUUCAAACUGGCAGACUAGAGUGCGGUAGAGGGAGGUAGAAUUUCCUGUGUAGCGGUGAAAUGCGUAGAUAUAGGAAGGAAUACCAGUGGCGAAGGCGGCCUCCUGGAUCGACACUGACGCUGAGGCGCGAAAGCGUGGGGAGCAAACAGGA